rnacentral:rRNA from 1 species
AACCAGCACCUCAAGUGGUCAGGAUGAUUAUUGGGCCUAAAGCAUCCGUAGCCGGCUCUGUAAGUUUUCGGUUAAAUCUGUACGCUCAACGUACAGGCUGCCGGGAAUACUGCAGAGCUAGGGAGUGGGAGAGGUAGACGGUACUCGGUAGGAAGGGGUAAAAUCCUUUGAUCUAUUGAUGACCACCUGUGGCGAAGGCGGUCUACCAGAACACGUCCGACGGUGAGGGAUGAAAGCUGGGGGAGCAAACC